GCUAGAUAUUUAGAUAUGGAUAAAUGUAAAUAUUGUUCUUAUUGUAUAAAUUUCUCUAAAAUGUAAUAUGUAUAAAGAUGAUUGAUUAAAGAAAAACAAUAAAAUAUUUUGCCUGGUUUAAAACAAACUUAUAAAUAAACUACAAUACAACAACAGCACAAGAAAGCGAGAAAGGAAAAUGUAAGGUUGACAGGCUGUAGGUGAAGUAUUAUAAUAUUAUUUGAAUGUAGACUAUGAUAAGUUAAAUAUAUACAUUAUAUACUCUGAAUGAACAAUGAAACAGUAUUGAAAAUAAAUAGCCAACAUGGAAUUCGAAUUCCUUUUGUAGAUACAAUUUUCUAUCUGGUAUCAUUUUACUUCUGCUUGAAUAAUUUCCUUUUACAUUUUUUGCAGUGCUACAUUGCUGGUGAUAAGGCAGAGGGGAGAGUAAGAUGACAGAGUAGGACUUUCUAGUAAUUGUCCAUGCCACCCUCCCCCCACAAAAAUAUUCAUACAAAGUCCAAUUCAUACAAAAGAAAGCAGAAAAUGAGAGAAGAAUAAAGAGAUGAACGCGCAGGAGGCUUCAUCUGCAAUGCAAGGAAAUUGUGCAUGUUUCUUCCGCUGCCUUUCCAUCAAUUAGCCAUACAGUAAGAUUAAAGUAAAAUCAGAGUUUUAUGAACAGCUAUCCUUCUUCAGUAUGCAAUCUAGCUAGAGCCUGAGAUCUGAGACACUGGAUCUUGUGAACAGCCUUACUGCUCCAUUCAGACACCAUGGCCAAAUAUAUGCAUUGACACACAGAUAAAAUGGAUGGUGAAGCACCAGGGACAAAUAACAGCAGGAGAUUAGAAAAUGCAUUUAGGCCUGAAGGGACAAAGGGAGUGAAUGGUGUUGCCAGAACAAGACUUUAUUUUUGUUUUCCUAGUGCUUGUAGGAAUAUUUUAUUUAAGAUAUGUUUUAUAAUUUUUGUAAAGCAAAUUUUUAUGCUUUGCUUCAUA